rnacentral:lncRNA from 1 species
AGCAGAGUCGGACUGAUGCUAGGCUUGGUAUGGAGGCGAGAACAGCGGUCGCCGUGACGGCAACUCCGAUCUUGAAGUAAAAAGGGCAGUUCACUCUGUCUUUCUCGGUCCCAAAAAUCGAGGCCAAGUGUUCCGCCAUUCUCCACCACGUCCUCCUCCUCCCGCAGCUGCAAUUGAUGAAUUUACAGCUCAAUAUGAUAAAAGGAUCGAGACAAUUGAAGUUCUAGGUUUGGUACUUCUUGCUUUUCCCUACUUCUCUCUGUUUCGAUAAUGGUACGGUGUAGUUUUUAUUAUUUUAUAUGAGGAGGAAAAUUUUCACCUUCUGGAUGAUUCGACUGGCGCAAGGAUGUCCUUCGAUGGAUUAUAAUAUGAGACGAUAAUUUUAUAAUGAGGAUCACCGGUGGUUUGCCCGAGAGGUUAAGGGGGAAGACUUAAGAUCUUCUGCACAUAAGUGCGCGUGGGUUCGAACCCCACAGCCACCAUUAUUGGAAUUUCAUUUUGCGAAAAAAGGGAACAGAAAAACCGAAAUGAGAAAAUUUGUUGCGUUUGCCGGGAGUCGAACCCGGGUCUAUUGCUUGGAAGGCAAUUAUCCUAACCGUUGGACUACAAACGCUUUUGUUAAUAAUACAAAUCUUGGUGUUAUAUAAGCUAACUUCAAUGGAAAAGAAUUAAGAUUUCAUGGCAAGAAAAAUUAUCAUAAAUAAAUGUGUACCAAACUCAUAAAAUAAAAGCAGUUUCUACAUAUGUAAAAGGAUAUCACAAAGAAUUAUGAUUUUCAAUUUUCUUUUUUUUUCACUUAAUCAAUAACAAUCAAACCACAUUUAAAAAGAAAGAACAAAAACAAAAGACUUGCAUUUUCAUAUUAGAAAAACUGGUUUUACACAUUAACCAUUUUAGAAGGUUUAUAACGAUCAUAUUGCCUAACAAGUAAACUUGGAAUCAAAUAAAUAUAGUGCACUAAGAAAUUUAAGGAUUUUUUCUUUUUUGUCCAAAGAAGAAAUAAUAAUUUACUUAAAAAAUAUGAGUGUAUAUAUAUGUGUGUGUGUGUGUGUGUAUACACACGCAUUUUCUUUUUAAGCUAAAAUGGUUUUGCCUGGGUGAUAUUUCCACACCAAAAGGGAAAUAUAAGAGCAAUUAGUGAAAAGAGUUAAAAAAUAAUUAAUAAAAAAUAAAAUCAAAUACACGCGCUGCUGGCAUCAUUAAGCUAAUCAAGUUCAUUGGAGCUCAGAGGAAGGUUGGAUUAGAUGAUAAGAUUAGAGAGAUUAUAGAUUUUAAAUUCUAUACCUCUCACUUAGACCAAAAAAAAAAAAAAUCAUUGAACCCAAAAAAAAUGAAAUAGAUAAUGAUGCCUAAGGAAGCCCAAAAUGAACGACAGUAUUACCGAUUCGAGUUGAAUUGGCAACGAGAGCAACAGCCCUUGAGGGCUUCGUUGCUAUGAUAAGGCUUCUCCAAGCGGCCCUUGGGUAUGAGUAUUCUCCGCUGCCGUUGCAUAUAAAAUACUAUUCCAGUCUGUGGCCUCGAAAGUUGUUCGAUGUUGAAACUUGAAACCCAUUCCUAGUCCCAAGCUACAGCCUCUCGCCACGAUUGUUCAACAAAACUAGUGUUUGAGCUCGUCACAAAACUUAGAGCCCGUUUGAAUUAUUAUUUUCUCGAGUUGGUGGUUUGACGUGUAUGAGGCGAAAAAAGUGAUCAGAAAAUGUGUUUAUAAAAAAUGUAAAUUAUUUUUUGGAAAAAGAAAUCCAACCAAGGCCUUGAUAGGACCGUAAAUUGGAUGAUCAUCAAGCUUCGUUUUUGGUUUUUGGCCUUUAGAAACUAUAGGUUGUAACUUGAUCUAAGCCCACUAGGCAGAUUUUGUUUCCAACACUUUUGAUCAAAAGGAAUGAACCCCAUGUCUGGAAACCAACUUUGAAGUUUGGUAGGUUGAUUAAGAUGGUAAUUUGAAGCUUGCAAGGGAAUAGGGACAAUAGGUUCAUUCAAUCUACAUAAGCUCCUCGUGUUGAAAGUCUCUUGGCAUCAAAAUCAAGUUGUUGCUCAAGCCGGCUUCUGUGUCAGUCCAAGAAUUUAUAUGUUAUGUCCUAAUUGCAAACUAAUCCGACAUAGUAGUAAGCAUGGGAUUGAAUUUAUACCGUUUUAUCCAAAUUGAGAAGGCCGUCUCGUCUCGAAGUCGAAGAGCUAACACCACUUUCAUCACCUCGGACAAUAGCUAGCUCUUGAUGUGGUGUGGGUUCUUCCAGGAUUCAUAUGAUUUUCUUAAAAUUACUCUGCUUUGUUAAUUCAUGUAUAUAUUGCCCAAAUUUUAAUCGCUGAUAGCUAAUAGUUGGAAAUAUCCUAAACAAUUAAAGCCCUCGGAAACAUGCAAAUUGGCCCUUCUGAGGACCCUGUAAACUUUAGGAAAUGAUAUGCUGAGCAUCCUAAGUAGCCUGCCGACAAUUGAUCAAUUCCUAGAGGUUUGAAUUUAACAGCAUUAGUGCUUUGGUUUUUUUUUCAACAAAAUGUGGCAAGUUAAGUUCACAAAUAACUCGAUAACAAAGCAUGCUGUACUUGUACCCGACGAUAUGUCACUGGUUCGAGUCAUCAAGAGAUUAAGCGAGGAAUCACUGUUGAUUUUCUUUUAAUAAAAGGAGAAAAAAAAGUUCACAGAUAACUUGGUUCGUGAACUGUGGCUGUUGUGUACAUCGGUAAAGAUUUACUUCUGCUACUUCAUAAAUCAUAAGUGGGGAAGUGAGAUAUUUUUCUAAGUAAACAGCCCGAAUAUUCCUUUGUUUGGGUGCCGUACAUCACAGCGAAGAACGACCCCAUUGUACUGGCGGAAUGGGUCUUAAGGACUCUGGUAGUUCCCAAAGUUGAAGGGUGUGGGGAGUAACGGAGCCAGUUUGCCAACCUAUAAGAGGGGGACAAGACUAGUUUCCACUGACAAACGCAAAAACAGAUCCAGCAGAAUGAGAAGACUCCUCACCAAACAGUCCUAAGGUUUAUACUUAUUUGACUUUGGACCACCAAAAAAAGAAUGGUUGGUCCUAUUCUAAACAUGUUCAAGAAAAUUUACACUAUGCCUCUGAUUGUUAUCCCUUUUUCCACUCAUUUAUCUAUUGCAGACCCUUGUUGUGUGUUUUUGUCUAUUGCUGCGUGCGCUACAGAUUUUUCUGGUGUCUGAUGGGAAAAACAUUUAUACACCCACAGCUCUGGUUUUCCAUGUUAAUCUGGAAGUAAAAUUGGACCAAACGGAAUUUGGGGCUUAAAUUGUUCGAAAUGUUGAUGGGGCAAAUUAUAGUUGCGUCUGCAUUACUCAAAUUGAUUUUGCACUUUGGAAAAGAUGUGUAGAAAGAUCUUGUAUAUUAAUGUAAUCACAUUUUGGUGUCAAUUCUUUAUAUCUUGGAAAUUUGGUAGUUGAAAAUUGAAAUUUUGCACACCGCCACAUGCAUCCAAAGAAACACUUGCUAUAGACUCCAUUCAAUUAAACAAGAGCUAUCUAAGGGCAUGGUUCAAUUUUACAAUCUAUCUAUGUCCUUGUCAGGAGGACAGGCAAUCUUUAAGAGCCAGUGGGACAGGUUUGCCAAGGCUGUAGUGGCCAUUUUUAUGUUUAUAUAUAACUGCACAUGCAGGCCUGGAAAAUGGAAACUGAAGAUCCAAUGCCGGUGCUGCCGCCGUGCUGGCCUUCUGCUACAGAAGGUGUAAUCUACCAAUCCCUAAAACACAUGUUUUAUCCUUUUCGUCUUUCUCUACCCCACUCUUUAUCUUUUCUCGUGGAGGGAAGUCAUCAAUCUUGUUUGCCGUUGGGUAGGUUAUCUGAUGAAAGUCCUUAAAAGUUCUUGUAUUAAAGUGCUGGGCAGGUUAUCUGAUGAAAGUCCUUUAAAGUUCUUCUGCUAAGUGUCACUUGCACAAUGGAUAGAAAUUCCACUUUUCCUGCAAUAGCAAAUACAAUUGAUAGGAUGAAUUGGGUUCUUCUAUAAGAGCAAAAUACAACUGUACAGUACUACAAGAGAUGAGUUCGGUAUUGAGCUAUAAAAAACUGGAUAAAUUUUGAUAUUGCAUUCAAGUUUCUUUUACUCCUCCAUGAUUAAAAUGGACCACAUGAACACUAAAACUUCUUCAUGGGUGGUAUUUAAGCCAUUCAUUCUUGUCAUUGGGUCUUGCUACCUACAAAUGUGCCUUUAGUUUGAAUUGAAACAGUUUACAGAACAAGAAACUUGGUUGAGAGACUAAUGUUGGAGAGCUCUAUUAAAAGCUAAUUAAACAUGGAAAGCCCAGACUAAAAUUUCCACUCAUCCAGCCUGUUUUUAAUGCAUAUAUCAAGUCCUACCAGGAGCAUAGAUAUUGGCUGGUAGAUGAUUAUCAAGAAGUGCACUACGAACUUUUCAGAGCAAGUAUCUAGAUAGAUCCCUUCAAUAAUUAUCAAUGUCCGCUCCCAAGUCUAGCUUCCAGAUAUGUAUCAUGCACCGACACACAAUUAUACAAAAUUAUAUAUAUAUGUAGUGGGAAAAGGGCAUAGCUUAAAGCAGCUGCUCCUUGUGCUUUAGCCAGAUUGACACAUUCUGAUUGUUUCUCGGAAUUAGUCAUUCGUUGACACACACAGUACACACACUACCAGGCAGACAGAUAGAUUAUGUGAAGUACUAAUUUCAUGUUUAACAUAAUUUUUGUAACAUUGAUGAAGAUUGUAGAGCUUUGCUGCAGGUGAUACGAGUCUAAACACACUAGCAAAUCUGACUUUAGUUUAUCAGUUAAGUACGUGAAGUUUUCUUCUGUUUUUCCUAAGCUUCAUAGAGAAUCUGUUAUCAAGGGUCCAAGAUUUCUCACUGUGACAUGGGCGUCUUGACCUACAUCUACAUGUGUGUUCCUUACACUUCAAUACGUGCCAUUCUUGAGGAUGAAUGUUAAAAUAUGGUUCGAACAUUUGUCCAAAUGUGCCUUUGGUAUUUUAUGUCCUUCAUGAUACCAGAACAGACGUAAUUGACAAUUAAAAAUGACUGUUUAAAUAUGGUUUAUGAUUUUGGUGCCAAACAAACCUUUGGUAUUUAUGAUGUUCAUAAGACCUAAUUAAACAGCCAUAAUUGACACUGAAAAUUAAACAGCCAUAAGACCUAACAAACCUUUGGCAUUUAUGAUGUUCAUAAGACCUAAUUAAACAGCCAUAAUUGACAUUGAAAAUGGCUCUGCCCUGUACUCAAUCUCAACUGCUUUUCCUUUCUAACUUUGGCCUUUUUUUUUUUUUUUGGAGAAACUACAAGAUACUUGCUUUUGGAUUCUGAUCUUGACUUCUCAAAAAAACUAGUUUUUCAGAAAAUCAGAAUCAGUUCAGAACUAAAAUAUAUAUGGGUCCAUCAAACUUUGGUCCCAAUAAAUGUUUUAUCUUUUUCGCAGGAACUAAAGAGACAUCAUUGACACUUCUGCAACUGGCUAUUACAUGUACAAGGUGAUAACUUAAUUCUAGUUAUGUUUAAGAUGGCUGAAAAAGAAAAUUCAUCCAUAAACAUUAAUGAGAUGAAACCUUCCUUCUCCUUCCAAAUACGAUGGCAAUUAAUUACAUGCAUGAAAUGGGUUGCGGGGGUCACCCGUGUGAGGAGAAGAAAAGGAGAGAAUCACUGAAUCACCACUCCAGCACGCAAGCCAACUUUAGGUUUCAAUGGCCUCUUUACAUAUCAAACUGUAGCCAAUUGCUGGAAUUCCUCCAGCAAAAGUAAAUUUUUUAUAAGAGUUAGUACAUGCUCGAGCUAAGUUUUGCAGGUUUGUAGUGACGAUUGUUGCUGUUCCAUCUAAUGUUGCUCUUUUUGAGGAUAGUUGCUUCAUAAUUAGACUUACACGAAAAGGAUUAAUAUGCAUAUCUUUAAUAUAUAUAUAUAUAUAUAUAUAUAUAUAUAUAUACCAAUCUUCGGCUUAAUUGGAGGAGGAGACAUUUAACCCAAUUUAAUGGUUCAAUUGAUGUAUCAAAUCAGAUAUGACCCCAUGUAACCAAAAUCAGAGAUGAUGGUAAC